CUACUCGGGAGGCUGAGGCAGGAGAAUCACUUGAACCUGGGAGGCAGAGGUUGCAGUGAGCUGAGAUCAGGCCACUGCACUCCAGCCUGGGCGACAGAAGGAGACACCAUUUCCAAAAAAAGAAAAACAGAAACAGCCAAACUCUUUUCCAAAGUGGCUGUAUCAUUUUGCAUUCCCAUCAGUAACGUAUGGGGGUUCCAGUUGCUCCACAUCUGUGCCAGCAUUUCGCAUUGUCUGGGUGUUUGGGUUUGGUGUUACUUUUAGUCAUUCUAAUAGAUGUGCAGUGGGAAAAUCACGAUGGGGCUUUUUUUUUCCAUCAUGUGUCAUAGAAGCUUUUCACCAUUUAGAAAUGCAGAGGUAUCCAUGACAACAUUAUGAGGCAGAGUUAGAAUUACAGCUUUUCGGUCGUGCGCAGUGGCUCAUGCCUAUAAUCCCAGCACUUUGGGAGGCUGAGGUGGGCAGAUGACUUGAGGUCAGGAGUUCAAGACCAGGCUGACCAACAUGGUGAAACCCCGUCUUUACUAAAAAUACAAAAAUUAGCCAGAUGUGGUGGCGUGUGCCUAUAAUCUGAGCUACUUGGGAGGCUGAGGCAGGAGAAUCACUUGAACCCCGGAGGCAGAGGUUGCAAUGAGUGGAGAUCAGACCACUGCACUCCAGCCUGGGCGACAGAGUGAGACUCCAUCUCAAAAAAAAAAAAAAAGAAAAAAGAAUUAUACCUUUUCUUUGAAGAAGGUUAUCUUAUAGGACAUGCACCAGUUUUCUAAAGCCUUAGGGGUUUUUCUAGAUCUGGAGGAAUGUUCUGAAAUACAAAUCAACAUAUACAUAUGUAUAUAAAUUUUUUUUGAAAUAAAGUCUUGCUUUGUCAUGCAGGCUGGAGAGCCGUGGCACAAACAGGGCUCGCUGCAGCCCUGACCCACCUGAGCCUCCCAAGUAGCUGGGACUAUAGGUGCGCACUACCAUGCCUAAUUUUUUUUUGUAUUUUUUGUAGAGAUGGAGUUUCAUCAUGUUGCCCAGGCUGGUCUUAAACUCCUGAGUUCAAGCGACCCACCCGCCUCGGCUUCCCAAAAUGCUGGGAUUACAGGUGUGAGCCCUGGUACCCAGCCUAUAAUUUUUUAAAAAUAGGGAUGGGGUCUCACUGUGUUGCCCAGGCUGGUCUCAAACUCUUGGGCUCAAGUGACCCUCCCGCCUCAGCCUCCCAAAGUGCUGGGAUUGCAGAUGUGAACCACCAUGCCAGGCCUACAAAUCAACUUAUGCCUCAUGUCUCUACCCUUCUCAGAGCCCUUCUGAAGCUCCCCAGUAUCCUCAGGAGAAAAGCCAAGGGCGUUGGUGUGGUUCACCAGGCCCUGUGAAGCUCCUGCCUCCCUCCCCUUCUCACUUACCCUCCAAAUCUCAGGGCCUUUGCACAGGCAGUUCCUCCUUCCCAGAAUGCUCUCUUCUCUUCCCUCCUCUCCUUUCUCCUGAGUCAUGCCCGCUCAUCCUUCCAGUCUCAGCUCAGACAUCACUUCUGGAGACCCUCUUUCCUGAGCCCCUACAUGAGCUCAGGUGUCCCCCAUGCCCAUUUUCUCUCCUGGUGUCCUGUACUUUUGCACCAGAGCACUUAAAACCAUUUGUAAUUAUCCUAUUAACUUGUGUGUUCAGCCAGGCCUUCUUCGAUCGUCCUUUUCAAAAUUGCAAACUCCCAUCACUGCUUUAUUUUCUCUGUAGUACUUACCACUAUCUUUUUUUUUUCUUCUUUUUUUGAGACAGAGUCUCAUUCUGUUGCCCAGACUGGAGUGCGGUGGCACAACCUCAGCUCACUGCAAUCUUAGCCUCCCGGGUUCAAGUGAUUCUCCUGUCUCAACCUUCCAAGUAGGGAUUACAAGCACCCGCCACCACACCUGGCUAAUUUUUGUAUUUUUAGUAGAGAUGGGGUUUCACUAUGUUGGCCGGGCUGGUCUUGAACUCCUGAGCUCAAGUGAUCCACCCACCUCAGCCUCCCAAAGUGCUGGGAUUACAGGCGUGAGCCACUGUGCCUGGCCCUCCCUAGUAUUACCACUAUCUAACCCAACGUUGUCCAAUAAAAGCAUGAUGCCAGCCACAUAUGUCAUUUGGAAUUUUUUUUUUUUUUCUUUGAGACAGAGCCUUGCUCUGCCACCCAGGCUGGAACCACAUUAAAAAGGUAAACGGAAUGCUGGGCAUGGUAACUCACACCUGUAAUCCCAACGCUUUGGGAGGCCAAGGCCAGGAGUUUGAGAAUAGUCUUGGCAACAUAGGGAGACCCCAUCUUUACAAAUAAUUUAAAAAUUAACCCAGCGUGGUGGCAUAUGGCUGUAAUCCCAGCUACUCAGGAGGCUGAAGCAGGAGGAUCACU
rnacentral:lncRNA from 10 species